rnacentral:rRNA from 1 species
UACAGAGGUCUCAAGCGUUGUUCGGAUUCAUUGGGCGUAAAGGGUGCGUAGGCGGCGCGGUAAGUCGGGUGUGAAAUCUCGGGGCUUAACUCCGAAACUGCAUUCGAUACUGCCGUGCUUGAGGACUGGAGAGGAGACUGGAAUUUACGGUGUAGCGGUGAAAUGCGUAGAUAUCGUAAGGAAGACCAGUGGCGAAGGCGGGUCUCUGGACAGUUCCUGACGCUGAACUGCGAAAGCUAGGGGAGCGAACGGG